rnacentral:rRNA from 1 species
UAAAGGGUGCGUAGGCGGCCUGUUAAGUCAGGGGUGAAAGACGGUAGCUCAACUAUCGCAGUGCCCUUGAUACUGAUGGGCUUGAAUUGACUAGAGGUAGGCGGAAUGUGACAAGUAGCGGUGAAAUGCAUAGAUAUGUCACAGAACACCGAUUGCGAAGGCAGCUUACUAUGGUCUUAUUGACGCUGAGGCACGAAAGCGUGGGGAUCAAACAGGAUUAGAUCCCUAGU